UUCGGAGAAUAAAGAUAGUGGCGGACGGGUGAGUAACGCGUAAGAACCUACCCUUAAGAGGGGGACAACAGUUGGAAACGACUGCUAAUACCCCAUAAGCUGAGGAGUUAAACGAAUCUUUGAUUCGGCUUAAGGAGGGGCUUGCGUCUGAUUAGCUUGUUGGUAAGGUAAAUGCUUACCAAGGCGACGAUCAGUAGCUGGUUUGAGAGGAUGAUCAGCCACACUGGGACUGAGACACGGCCCAGACUCC
rnacentral:rRNA from 1 species